rnacentral:lncRNA from 1 species
GCGGCGAUCAUGGCCGCGAUGUCAUCGUCGUCGAAGCGCUCGUCGGCGCCGGCUUUGGCGUAGAAGGACUUGAGGUCCUCGCGGCUGAUGCGGCCGUCGUGGUCCGCGUCGAGCACGUCGAACGCCGGGCGCAGGUCCGCAGCGCCGGCGCCGGCGGGGAGAGCAAGGCCAGCGUACCUGCCGCCGGGGCACAUGCUUGCUUCAGCGGGAGAGGGGAAUGGAAAACUCUGGAACAGUCGACAGCUAGAUCGGAACGCGAUCUCUGGUUUAGCAGGAGAGGCUAAUUGCGGCGCUGCUUGUGCUGUUGGCUCCUGCGCGUUACCAGGGAAAGGAGGCCGCCGCAUUUUAUAGACGAGGCAAUUGUUCCUCCAGGACGCGUGGAGGUUGUUCCUGGACCUGGUCUACCGAUCGGUGAGCCAACGAUCGCACCUUUUGAUCUGGCAGGUUCGCCCGGAGAGACGGGUGUUUCGUGGUGGUGGUGGGCAAGGUCUUGUGGGAAGCUUGAUUAGUCAAUGAGGGAGAUAGCGGUAUUAAAUGGUUUGAUUUGAGGAGAGAAAGAGCUUGGAGACUUGGAGAGCAAGGACCAUGCGUUGCUGGGGUCGCGCGUACGGCCUUGGCCGGUCCAAACGGGAAGACGUGUAGGGUGACGUCAAACCGUCAGUCGACUUGAGCAUCGCUGCCGCAUCGUCUCUUUCCAGGUGAGAUCCCUGUAGCGUCAGCCGGGGCUUCGAACGCGUGCGGCGUUGCGGCUUCGAUGAGUCAUGAGUUUGUAGCUUUCGUAACGAAUGAUGUACUACCAAAAUACAAUUAACAAGGUCUAACAACAGCUUGUCACUUGUCAGCAAGAGCUAGCUCGAUCGAUAGCGAUCGAUGCGCGCGUAAUUGCUUUUGUCAUGUGCGUAUGCAGAACAACUGAGUUAUCACGCCGAAUACUUCCAGGGUCAAAUGAACUGCUUCAAUAAUACUCUUACUUGUCUUCGCUUUGAGCAAAGCUGGAAAUCGAACAACGCAGAUACUUCAUAAAACUAGAAGCUCUAUCAAUGUCCUUUGAAGUCAAAUUCUCUUGAUCCACCGUUCAUCUCUUGACGUAUUUGGGAGAAAAUUGCAAGAUAACAUGUCUCCACAUGUUUAACUAACCUCAGAGGUUUUGAAUAGCCACAUGACCUGCACACUUUAGACGGUGAGAACUUAAGAUUAUUGAACGCAUCAUGGCUGGCGUCAUACCUGCGAGACAAGUUACGAAACUGCAUUACCGGCGAAUCAACAAGGAAAAAAACCCAAAACACGAAAAAACAUGUCGUGAGAACCACUGACUCCAGAUAGCUUGCAACGACUAAACCAGGAGGAAAUUAUUCUGAAGUAAUUUUCUUUCCUCAUAAACCCCAAGAGUUGCGCCAACUACGCCAUCAAGGUCCUGGAGGGAACAUGAAUAAGUAGUAUUGACAGGACAUUGUCACAAUGCCUAUUCAUGGAUGUGACUUUAAGAUAGGCUCACUGUGGACAAGACCUAGAAAAGACAUGCAACUGAAAGGGUAUUGUGUUCAAAUGAGCAUAAUGAGGAUAGAGAUUCUAGGGGAAAUUCAUCGAGUCAGGUCCAGUGCUUCAUAUCCCCACAAUUAUCAGGCAAGACCCAAGCUAAAUCAUCAAAUUGCCAAUAUUAUCAAAGAUAAUAUUAUCCACCAUUGCCUCGGAGGUUGUGUCCCCGCCCAAUUUGCUCGUUAUGACUUUGGGUUUUGGGUUAAUUUGAUGUAUGCCACUGCAAUUUUUGCGAAAUUUAAAAACACCACUGCAAUUCUCAUCCUUUGAAAAAUGACAUUGCAGUGGUAUCUUUCAACCCAUUGGAGUGACAUUUUUUGAGGAAUCUACCAAAUUUAGUGGUACUUUAAAAAAAAUGAGAAUUAUAGUGGCAUUUUCAAAUUCGUCAAAAUUGCAGUGGCAUAUAUCAAAUUAACCCUUGCUUUUACUUGUGUGUGUCUCAUCGUCCUCGUCCACUAUAAUUAAUUGUAGCGGUUGGACCUUGGUGUUUAUUGAUGUGUGAUUGCGUAAAUUCCUAUAUAAUAAGUGAUGUUCUGAUAGAUAAUUCUUGCAUGCCAUAGAAAUUAAUAAGACAUUUCCGGCGAAUCUUGGAAUUACUUGGCACGUAACAGUUUUUUGUAUUUUUGUUGUGGUUCCUAAAACAUGUAGUGUGCAAAUUCUUGUAAGCUUCAAACAUUGGUUGAAAAUGGGAUAAAUCACCGGUUGAAAAGACAAGUGCACAUAUGGAGUAAGCAUGUAAUUCAAAAUAAUAGGUGAUUGAUUUAUACACAACAUCCCUUUUUUUAUUCUUGUAUGUUUCAACUGGUAAUUUAAAAACUAACUAAUUGAAAUCGACAAGGACCGAGCUUCCGCUUCUCUAGACAACUUGUUUGGCAAUAUGUGGAAAGAGGAAUGUGAGUUUAGAGGAGGGAGAUUAGAUGAUAUUAGACAUGGGAAAUCGAGUUUUAGUCUCAGUCCCUUGCUUGGCAUGAGAUGGGGAAUACAAGUGAGAAUAAACGAGAAAGAUCUAUUUCAAUGUUUAGUUGGUGGGAGUUCAUGAGGAAUUACCUUAGAGUGGAUAAUAUAAAUUACGUUGAACGGUUGGGAUCAUCCUUCCGAAACAAUUCAUACUCCUUCCAUGUAUUAAAAUAGUGGGAAUUAGUCCCUCAACUCCCAUGCCCAAUUUCUCGCUGACCAAACACAUGACUUAACAUCACGUACCAAUCAACUCCAAUUCCUUUUCCCUAAUUCCCUCCAACUAGUUCACUUGACACAUGCCCAAUUCCCUCAAUAGUUCAACAUUUAACCCCUAAUUUUCUAAGAAAUAUCCAAAUAUAUCGUAUAUAUGAGUUCUUACACUUAAAUUGGCAUAUAACUAGAUACAGUUUCCAAUAGGAGCGUCCGGCAAAAGUCUUAUGCUGGAAAUAUUGUUACGGUGCUGCCUUCUAGAACAUACCCCAUACCUCAAAUCAAUCAAUAUAAUAUAGGAACAAAUCUGGCUCAAAGUUUCAAAAUGAAUUAUGAGAAAUUAACAUAUGUGGCAUGAACAAAUUUCCAGUUGACCAAACACCACGAGGUAUUAAGCAGGCAGGUCACUAUGGAUAUACCGGUACAUACCUCGGGCCGGACUUCACAAAGCCCUGCAGUAAGCCAGGCCAUUCGGGCAGCCCAUUCCCCGAUCUAACUAUGGACAAUGAAGCAAAAAUAUGGUACCACGAGUUUAUAAGUCUAUAAGAAACGGUUGUAACUUUACCGAGACAUUAUUAUGGAAAGAGGUAAUUGCACCACUGGCACAAGAACUUGAGAGGUGGGAGCAUUUUAGUGCAUCUUCUUGUAAACUGAGCAAAACUAGUCCUGAAACUUGCGAUGCGGAUUGAGUGGUCCAAGCGAAUCAGGAGGCAACAUGUGGCCUAUUUAGUGGCCCAAACAGGUUUGUCUUUUUGCUAAAAACCUCCCGCGCCUUUUACAAAUUAGUCCCGAAAUACCCCUCUUCUCCAAUCUUUUACUUGGCCCCUCCUCCCCAUUUCCCGGAGUCAUUCCCAUGAGCGAACCUCUAACCUUAGAAUUUCCGUCGACGACAAUGCUGAAGAAAUUGACUCGGCGGUUGUAGCUUAAGAGCAAGUAGUGGUGGAGGUAUCGUCCCAUUUACGGAGCCGAGGCUCGAGCGGCAUCGUCGUUGGUCGCCGCCGAUGAUUGCCCGCAGUGUCCUCCAUGCGCGAAGACAGAGACAUGAGACGAAGUGGUUUUUGUUGGUUUAAUCGCACGGUGCCCUCUCUGACCGUGUAGGAGGACUUGUGUACAAAUUGUCUCAGUGCGGGGCGCCUUUGUGCAAAACUACCUCGGGCAAAACUCCCUGCAGUUGCCACGUGUCCAAUUCGGACUAAAUGCGCCUGCGUCUCAAGUUUUACAAAAAGGUGGACAAAAAUGCUUCCACCUCUCAAAUUCGCAAUUAACUCUUAUGGGAAACUACUCGGUACCUUCGAGAAAUAGAAAAAUGGCUCGACUUUUUAGUUUUAUUUUACAAUGUUCACGAGAGUAAGUACGAAUAGUUAUUUCUUGCAAAGCUUAAGGCAUUGAUUAGAAAAUGGGUGAGCCAAUGGCUGAACAAACAAAUAUCAUGCAUGUGAACUGAGCCUAGCUCAGUCGGCUUAGUUUCUUGUGGUGGAACCAGUCCACUGAGGUUCAAAUCUUAAACUUGACAUGUGUGUCAAUGCUAUCAUCAUAUGUCUCGGAACAAUAAAAUGAAACCUGCAUACUUUUAUUUGUUACCCUUACUAAACCGCGGUAAGGAUACGAAUACGACUUAACUAAUAUAAGGAUCAGAAUAAGUACUAAUGCUUUGUACCAGGAUUUAACCGGCGCUAUUCUUUAAGUGUCUUUUAUGCAAAUUUGAGACAUUUAAGACCUUACAAAUCAGUUUUUUUUUUGUUCGUUUGAUAAAUUCUACGCUUGUGUAUUGCCAUGUUACAUCGAUUUUACUGAACCUAAAAAAAAUUUAGUCGUCCCAUCCCUGAACGAAAAUCCUAGCUCCCCCACUGGUUCUAAAAAAAAGUUGUCAUGCACGAACUAAAUACAAACCAACUUUUGGGGGAAAAGUUAGAAACAGACAGAGAACAAUCUACAAAAAGUUGGAAUAGCUGGUUAAAACAAACCAAGACGAUACACACAACACUCUCGCCUAACGAGAAUUACUCAACAAUGACUUCACGAGCUCUGUUCCCCACAAACCAACUUUUGGGGGAAAAGUCCCAGAAAAAUUUACAUUCCAAUUCUUUUGGAGUUUUCAGAGGAUGCCAUCCAAAUCUACGGCGAGCACUCUGGCAAACGCCUCGAGCCCUACGCCGCCAUCGACGUCGCCAGCCAUACCUAUCAUGGCGCGGAUCUCGUCGUCGGCGACGGGCAUCCCGGCCCACCCGAGGUAGGCCUUGAGGUCCUCGAAGCCCACCUUGCCGUCCCCGUCGCGGUCCAUCAGCCUGAACGCGUCCUCCAUCGCGGACCGGCACCCGCCUGCUGUCCCCGUCGCGGCAGCGCGGCCGAGGAGGCCUUCGAACUCGUCGUACUGCACGAACCCGUCGUGGUCGGCGUCGGCGGCGGCGAUCAUGGCCGCGAUGUCGUCGUCGUCGAAGGGCUCGUGGGCGCCGGCUUUGGCGUAGAAGGACUUGAGGUCCUCGCGGCUGAUGCGGCCGUCGUGGUCCGCGUCGAGCACGUCGAACGCCGGGCGCAGGUCCGCCGCGCCGGCGCCGGCGGGGAUAUCAAGGCCCGCGUACCUGCCGCCGGGGCACAUGCUUGUUUGAUUGCUCCGGCGCGAGAAUGGAAAGGAAAGCUCGGGAGUAGAUCGGAACUGGUUGCUCCGGCGCGAGAAGGGAAUGGAAAGCUCGGG